UACAGAGGGUGCGAGCGUUGUUCGGAAUUAUUGGGCGUAAAGGGCGCGUAGGCGGUGCGGUAGGUCACCUGUGAAACCUCUGGGCUUAACUCAGAGCCUGCAGGCGAAACUAACCGUGCUGGAGUGUGGGAGAGGUGCGUGGAAUUCCCGGUGUAGCGGUGAAAUGCGUAGAUAUCGGGAGGAACGACCUGUGGCGAAAGCGGACGCACUGGACCACAACUGACGCUGAGGCGCGAAAGCUAGGGGAGCAAACAGG
rnacentral:rRNA from 1 species